rnacentral:rRNA from 1 species
GACGAACGCUGGCGGCGUGCUUAACACAUGCAAGUCGAACGGUGAAGCGAGUGCUUGCACUCGUGGAUCAGUGGCGAACGGGUGAGUAACACGUGAGUAACCUGCCCAUCACUCUGGGAUAAGCACUGGAAACGGUGUCUAAUACUGGAUACGACCAACCCUUGCAUGGGGUGUUGGUGGAAAGAUUUUUCGGUGAUGGAUGGACUCGCGGCCUAUCAGCUUGUUGGCGGGGUAAUGGCCCACCAAGGCGACGACGGGUAGCCGGCCUGAGAGGGUGACCGGCCACACUGGGACUGAGACACGGCCCAGACUCCUACGGGAGGCAGCAGUGGGGAAUAUUGCACAAUGGGCGAAAGCCUGAUGCAGCGACGCCGCGUGAGGGAUGACGGCCUUCGGGUUGUAAACCUCUUUCAGCAGGGAAGAAGCGAAAGUGACGGUACCUGCAGAAGAAGCACCGGCUAACUACGUG